rnacentral:rRNA from 1 species
CUACGGGAUGCUGCAGUGGGGAAUAUUGGACAAUGGGCGCAAGCCUGAUCCAGCAAUGCCGCGUGAGUGAAGACGGCCUUAGGGUUGUAAAACUCUUUCGCUAGGGAAGAUAAUGACUGUACCUAGUAAAGAAGUCCCGGCUAACUCCGUGCCAGCAGCCGCGGUAAUACGGAGGGGACUAGCGUUGUUCGGAAUUACUGGGCGUAAAGAGUUCGUAGGCGGACUGACAAGUUAGAGGUGAAAUCCCAGGGCUCAACCCUGGAACUGCCUUUAAAACUGUCAGUCUAGAGAUCGGAAGAGGUUAGGGGAAUACCUAGUGUAGAGGUGAAAUUCGUAGAUAUUAGGUGGAACACCAGUGGCGAAGGCGCCUAACUGGUCCGGUACUGACGCUGAGGAACGAAAGCGUGGGGAGCAAACAGGAUUAGAUACCCCGGUAGUC